rnacentral:lncRNA from 14 species
GGAUGGCGCAGCCCAGCGAGGCCUCGGUGCACACGGCGGCGGCCGGCGCCGCCAUGGACAGCAACGUCCUGGCCAUCGUGAUCGCCGCGACUGUGUCCACCUCUGUCUUCAUUGUGGCAAUCCUCAUCCUGCUGCUGCUCCUGUACCACCGGGACCCCAUGUGCUGCCAGUUCCUCUGCUCCUGCCGCUUAUUCCAGAGCCCCAGCCAGUAUGACUGCCCCCCACCCUACUUCAGCAGCAGCCAGCGGCUGGUGGGUCCCCAGUGCAGAGCCUCGCGCUUGGAGAGUGCUGCGGCUGAGAACCCGGGUGUGCAGGGGGAUGAGCUGUUCUGUGUUGGGCCGCCCAGCACGUACCAGGUCCCCUACUGGGAGCAGCCGCGCCUGCCCAGCUAUGAGAGCGUACGGAAGAAAGAUCGCCAGCGGGAGAUCCACCAGAUGAUUGCUGAGAGGUUCGGGCUGUGGGCAGAGCCUUCCCAGGAGAUGCCACCUCCCUAUGAGCAUGCUCUGAGGCAUCCUCCAGCUUUCUCAGGACCAGUGAUAAGCUCAGAGACCUUGGACAGACGUGGCAUGUCAGACCCUUUCCAGGCCCCUCUUGGCUACCAAACUCAGCGAAACACAGCUGUGUAA